UACGUAGGGGGCUAGCGUUGUCCGGAAUCAUUGGGCGUAAAGAGCGUGUAGGCGGUCCGGUAAGUCCGCUGUGAAAGUCGGGGGCUCAACCCUCGAAUGCCGGUGGAUACUGUCGGGCUAGAGUACGGAAGAGGCGAGUGGAAUUCCUGGUGUAGCGGUGAAAUGCGCAGAUAUCAGGAGGAACACCGGUGGCGAAGGCGGGUCUCUGGGCCGAAACUGACGCUGAGGCGCGAAAGCUAGGGGAGCAAACGGG
rnacentral:rRNA from 1 species